AAGCUAUGGAUCGCAACGUCUCACGUCUUGCUUGCCCCGUAACAGUUACAGUAACAGCUACAUUAAUGCUGACAUCACUAUAUGGGAAAUAUUUUCAUGAGGCCUUUUAUUCCAUUUGAAUAAAGAUCAUCAGGACUCAUAAUUGUGUUAAAUGAGUCUAGACUGAAACAAUGUCAAUCUGAAAAGUUCAAAACUACUGAUUCAUUUGUCUGAAGCUGCAGGUGUUUAUGUGAAUCAUAAUGAUUGAGCUGUAUAUGAAGAACAGAAACAUCAUUAUUGAUAAACUCCACAACAUCAUCCAUGAUAAAAGAGGUCAAAGGUCACAUCAGAAUCACAGAUCAUCAAAUACAUUUUCUUAAAAAAGUGUUAGUCAGCACACAACAAGAGAAUGAAUGAGAAAUAUAGCUACUAUACACUCAGACAGAAUCAAGCCUACUGUAAAUGAGAUUAAUAAACUCUUUGAUUAUGAUUAUUGGCUUGCUUAGUUGGGGACACUUAAUUUCUGGCAAUAUUGUUGACUUGAUAGCACAGACACUGAACUGAACUGAGCUGGACGAUGAUGACAUCACUGAAUCAAUGAUAAACUGACGUUAGCUGAAAAAUUGAGUCUUUGCUAUUGUCCUCUUGCAUUAUCAACACACUAUUUUCCUGUUUGUCUCUGUAAAGCUGCUUUACCACAAUCUGACUUGACUUGAAUUGAUGAAAAUAAUCACAUUAUUUUGCAAGCAAUAACAAACACUUUUAAUGUACUUUAUGUGAAAGAGAUUUGUUAUUUAAAAGUAUUUUGCCCAAACUAUAUGACUGAGUGUUGUUAACAGCUGAGGUGUUUCUACUCUCAGUGUGUUGAAGUGUUUCUCUCUCUGCUUUUGUAUUUGAUUUUGAAACAGAUUUAAUUCAGAAUAUAAAGAAAACUAGCAGUCAUGUCAGUCAGUGGUGUGGAAUAAGAUGAAUGUUGAGAUUGUUGUGAUUUUGACUGCACUCCUCAUGUCUGCUGCUGAAAGUCCUGUUGAAAUGCUGUGAAUGCUGCAGGGCAGAAGAGUGCUGGAGCUGCAGUGUGUUUUCUCUGUGUUUGUGAAUGUGUUGUGUUUGUCUCCUGCAGCUGGUCCCACAGUGAAGCCCUCAGUGUCUCUGCUGCCGCCCUCUUCUCUGCAGAUCUCUGGAGACUCAGCCGCACUGCUCUGCCUGCUCAGCUCUUACUCUCCACAGGGGGCGCUGGUGAGCUGGACACUGGACGGCUCAGAGGUCACCGAGGGGGUUGUGACCAGCGCAGAGAGCGAGCAGGACGGCCGCUACAGCCGCAGUAGUGUCCUGACCCUCAGCAAAGCACGCUGGGAAGCGGGAGAGCAGUACGUCUGCAGAGUAACACAUGAUGGAGCUCCUCAUGAGGCCUCGUUCCACAAGAGUCGCUGUUAGUCGCUCGCAGUGCUGAUGUUUCUCCAGUGAGCGCUGCUCUCUCCUGAAGAUGAGCGUAUCUGAGUGU